rnacentral:rRNA from 1 species
AUGCAGUCAUCUCGCCCUCCACCGCACGCCAAGCCGCCGAGGUCAGCCCCGGGCCACGCGCGCUCCCGCUCCCAGCUCGCCCAGGUGCGCCCGGAUCCCGCCCACGACUUCGAGUUCCGCUUCGACUUCCUGCCCGACGCCUUCCGCUUCGACAUGGACGGCGGCGGCGCCAAGCCGGCGGCACCCGCGCCCGCGAAGGAUAAGGAGGAGGUCCUUGUUGCGUUCGACAAGGUGAGGCUCAGCAUUGCGUCCAGCGAGGGCGAGGAGGAGGACGACGACGGGGCGCCGCCGAGGAGCUCCUUCUCCGGGGCCAGCCACCCGCCGGAGCCGGUCGACGAGAUGGACCCCGUGCUCGUGGCCGUGGACCACGGGCGGGGCGACAAGAAGGCGCCGCCUACGCCGGCAGCCAAGCCGGUCAUCGUGUGGGACGCGUCCCCGCCGGUGAGCGCCGCGGCGAGCCCGCACAGCAGCAUGGGCGACAGCUCCUCCGGCGGCGGGGCGGUCACGGCCACCUGCACCAGCAUGGCGCCCAGCUGCACCGUCACGAGCCGCAGCGCCAAGACCAGCGUCAGCAGCAGCGCGGCCAGCGACUGGAGCAACGGCACGGCCGGCGCCGGCGGGAGCGGCGGCGUGGGCGGGAAGCCCCACAAGGGGGGCGACCCUAGGUGGAAGGCGGUCCUGGCGGCGCGCGCGCGGGACGGGCCCCUCGGGAUGGGGGACUUCCGGCUGCUCCGCCGGCUCGGCUGCGGAGACAUCGGGACGGUGUACCUCUCCGAGCUCAGCAAGGGCGGCGGCGGCGCGGCGAGGGCGCCGUGGUUCGCCAUGAAGGUGAUGGACAAGGCGUCGCUGGAGAGCCGCCGGAAGCUGAGCCGCGCGGAGACGGAGCGUGAGAUCCUGCAGCUGCUGGACCACCCCUUCCUCCCCACCCUCUACGCCCACUUCGAGACCGACAAGUUCGCCUGCCUCGUCAUGGAGUUCUGCCCCGGCGGCGACCUCCACGCCCUCCGCCAGCGCCAGCCCGGCAAGCUCUUCCCCGAGCACGCCGCAAGGUUCUAUGCCGCCGAGGUGCUCCUUGCGCUGGAGUACCUGCACAUGCUCGGGGUGGUGUACCGGGACCUGAAGCCGGAGAACGUGCUCGUCAGGGACGACGGCCACGUCAUGCUCUCCGACUUCGACCUCUCCCUCCGCUGCGCCGCCUCGACGACGCUGGUCCGGCCGUCGCUGCCCUGCAGCGCCUCCGGCCCCAACGGCGGCGCCUGCAUCCAGCCCACGUGCUUCAUGCCCAAGCUCUUCGGCGGCCGGAGCAGCAAGAAGAGCGCCUCCGCGGCCUCCAGAUCGAAGAGCGGCGACCAGCAGCAGGGCGCCAUGCCGGAGCUCGUCGUGGAGCCGACCGGCGCGCGGUCGAUGUCGUUCGUGGGCACGCACGAGUACCUGGCGCCGGAGAUCAUCAAGGGGGAGGGCCACGGCAGCGCGGUGGACUGGUGGACGUUCGGCGUGUUCCUGCACGAGCUCAUGUACGGCAAGACGCCGUUCAAGGGGCAGACGAACCGGGCCACGCUGUUCAACGUCGUCGGCCAGCAGCUCCGGUUCCCGGAGGGCGGCCCGCCGACGAGCGGCGCCAGCAAGGACCUCAUCAGGGGCCUGCUGGCCAAGGAGCCCCAGGGCCGGCUCGGCGUGAAGAGGGGAGCGGCCGAGAUCAAGCAGCACCCCUUCUUCGAGGGUGUCAACUGGGCGCUCAUCCGGUGCAGCACGCCGCCCGGCGUGCCCAGGCCCGUGGAGCCCAUCGCCGUCGCAGCAAUGCCGGCGAAGUCGGCGUCCAUGGACAGGGUGGAGACGAAUUACAACAGCAGCAAGAGGACGCCAGCAGGGCCAGGGGCAGACCAUGUGGAGUCUGGAGGGAAGUUCCUCGACUUUGAGUUCUUUUAG